AGAAUCAACGCUGGCGGCGUGCCUAACACAUGCAAGUCGCACGAGAAAGGGGAGCAAUCCCUGAGUACAGUGGCGCACGGGUGAGUAACACGUGAAUAAUCUACCUCCGAGUGGGGAAUAACUGAGAGAAAUCUUAGCUAAUACCGCAUAACACUUACGG
rnacentral:rRNA from 1 species